CCCGCUGAACUUAAGCAUAUCAAUAAGCGGAGGAAAAGAAACUAACAAGGAUUCCCUCAGUAACGGCGAGUGAAGCGGGAAUAGCUCAAAUUUGAAAUUCUACUGGUUUCCAGUAUGAAUUGUAGUUUAAAGAAGCGCUUUCGAAGACAAACUAAGAUUAAGUUUCUUGGGAUAGAACAUCAUAGAGGGUGAGAAUCCCGUAUGUGUUUUAGUUUAGUUUUUAUGUGAUGCGUUUUCAAAGAGUCAGGUUGUUUGGGAAUGCAGCCUAAAAUGGGUGGUAAAUACCAUCUAAAGCUAAAUAUUGGCGAGAGACCGAUAGCGAACAAGUACCGUGAGGGAAAGAUGAAAAGAACUUUGAAAAGAGAGUUAAAAGUACGUGAAAUUGUCAAAAGGGAAACACUUGAAACCAGUUUUGUAUUUAGAAUCCCAACUAAUCUAACGAUUAGCAUAUGUUUCUAAAUACAGGUCAAUAUCAGUUUUUUUUGAAGUACAAAGCUUGAAGAAGGUGGCCUCUCGGGGUGUUAUAGCUUCAAGUAAUGCUUUGGAAAAGACUGAGGAAUGCAGCGCAGUCUUGGGUACCUUGUUGCUAGUUGAUGCAUUUUUCUAGAAUACUUGUAUAUUAGGAGAAUGAUAAGACUAAUCAGUGAGUUUGCCACACCUGUGCUUAGGAUAUUGACAUAAUGGUUUUAAAUGACCCGUCUUGAAACACGG
rnacentral:rRNA from 1 species